GAUUUGCAGCUGUAAACAGGGUCUGCAGCACAAGACUAGCCGAAAAAGCAAAAUAAUGGCUUGCAACAAUCCUGUUUGUGAAAGAGAUUAUGACAAAGAAGUCUGGAACCUCAGAACCACCAUAACUGUGUCUGCUACAAUGUGUGUUCUUGCAACCAGCUGAUUGAUUCAUUUUAUCAACUCUUGAAUGGUUGAUUAUCAGAACUGAAUUCAGAGCUGCUCCUGUCUGAAGUAACAUCAUUAUAAGAGUGGACUACAGAAUGAGGGCGUUGCUUGUUUAAAAACUUCACUCCGUGGAGCUCUCCAAAUUCAUCGCAAAUUAGACUGCUUCUGGAAACCAGAUUUGUUCUUUUAAGCAGAGAUGCUUGUGGCUUUCCUGACUGGACUUCUAUGGAUUAUUCAUGCCAACAUUAAGAACUAUGGUCUUCUGCAUGAUACACAUCAAUUUCAAACAAGACAUUCUGUGGUGAAACACUUGAUGCAGAUGAAAUGAAAUUUUAUUACUGAAUCUCAGAAGUGAUUCCUUGGGAGCAAGAAAUAAUGAAAAAUAAAAAUAAAAGGUCCAUCAAUAAUGAAUGUCUUGAGCAGUGUUCUUUUUUGUGCACAGAUCAAUGGAUCUUUUCAAGUCCAAGCAGGGAUGUAGUCAAUGCUGACCUCGAGGCAACAUUUUGCUGGCCUUGGUCCGAGUCACUGUACAGAAUCUAUGGGAAGUUCUUUCAAGCUGCCUCAUGACUCGGAAGAAUCAGCCUCGACCUCAUCCCUGUAUGCAAGUGUGAUAUAUAUCUACGAUGCAAUCUUAUGAUUAAAGGGAGAGAAACAAGAGAGCUUCAGAUUUUGAAGUGUAGCAAUCUCCUGAAAUGUAUGUUUUAUUUGAAAAACUUAAUUGGGCAUGUUAUUCAUUAUGAUAUGUAUGAAUGAAAGCAUUUAAGCAAUUUAGUGCUCUUGCAAAACAUAUUCUGAGUUGUAUUUACUGCAAACGCUCAGAAAUAUUGAUAAGCAUUUGCCAGUGCAUGAAGUGUUUUAUUAAAGAGUGGCUUUUGUGCCUAUGGAGAGUUAUUAUUUCUUCAACAUUUCUUCAUACAAAUUAUUUCAGAAAUCACAAUUUGAAUAUUCCAUGACCUCUGAUAACAAGAGCAGAAUAUUUUUGGUGAUUGACACACUUUAAAAUGAUAUUAGGAGAGAAUGUACUGAAAUUGUGUGAAAAUAAUGGCAUAAUUGCUGAAGAGGCCUAUAAAGAUUGAAAAUAACAUUAUUUCAAGUUUUUCUUGAAAAAAACCCAUGGAAAAUUGAAAAUUGCAUAAUUUACACAAGUUUUCAAAACAAAAUACAAAAAAAAAGAUUUUUGCAGAAUUUUUAGUACACAAGCCUAUGGACAAUCAAUUGAACGUAAAUCGAACGCAAAUUUUGCGCGUCCUCCAAAAUCUUACAUAAGUUACGUUUGAUUUGCAAUCAAUUGCAAAGCUUGCGCUUGAUCUACGUUCAAUUGAUCAAACGCAACUUCUUCUUGCAACAGGAUUGAACGUAACUUGCGUUCAAUUGCAGAUUUACGUUUAAUCGGAGGACUUGCGCUCAAUUUUGGGAGUUGCGUUCGAUUUGCGUUCAAUCGCAAGUUUCUUGCAACACCCCAUUAGACAAUGACGUCUAAUUUGCCUGGCCUGAUUUGAACUGCAUGCGCGUAUCGAGUUGACCUUCCUUAGAGCAACACGCUUGUGUGUUGCUGCCCUCUACGUUCGUUGAU